UAAUCAUCAUCCCUGUACGGCCCACUCGUUCUCCUCUCUCUCUCUCUCUCUCUCCACACCUGUAUUGCUUCUCUCGGCUCAGGAAAUCCCCCAUUGACCCUCCAAAUCGCUCCUUCAUUUCACCAUCUUCGACCCCAUUUUAGGGUUUCACAGAGAGACAGAGAGAGAAAACCAUAUUGUGUCUCUGAGGUCGUCUAUGUAGAGUCCAAGCAUGGGCUGUUUUCAGUCCAAAACCGCCAAUGUUCAGUCCCCAGACCUAGAACCCUCUCAACCUGACUCCAAACCUGAUCUAGCUAAUGAAGAGCAAUUGGAUCAAGAUCAAGUAGUUCCUGCAUUCAAAGAGUAUAGUCUUGCUGAGUUGAGAGCUGCCACAAAUGGGUUCAGUAGCGAAUUGAUUGUGUCUGAGAGUGGUGACAAAGCUCCCAAUGUUGUUUACAGAGGCAAACUGAAGAACAAUCGCUUUGUUGCCGUUAAACGCUUCUCCAAGCUUUCCUGGCCCGACCCUCAACAGUUUGUGCUAGAAGCUGCUGGAGUUGGCAAGGUUCGGCAUAAGAGAUUGGUGAACUUAAUUGGGUGUUGUGCUGAGGGAGAUGAACGUCUAUUGGUGGCAGAAUUCAUGCCCCAUGAUACACUCUCGAAGCAUUUGUUUCACUGGGAUAAACAACCUCUUCCGUGGGAAAUGCGUGUAAGAGUUGCAUGCUAUAUUGGACAAGCUCUUGAUCAUUGCAAUGCUGAAAAUAGGAAAAUCUAUCAUGAUUUAAAUGCUUACCGAGUUCUUUUUGAUGAGGAUGGUGACCCCCGAUUAUCUAGUUUUGGUCUUAUGAAAAAUAGCCGAGAUGGGAAAAGUUAUAGCACCAAUCUGGCUUAUACUCCACCUGAGUUUUUGCGUACUGGUAGGGUCAUUCCAGAGAGUGUUGUCUACAGUUACGGAACUGUUCUUCUGGAUCUUUUGAGUGGAAAGCAUAUCCCACCAAGCCAUGCACUGGAUCUUAUAAGGGGAAAAAAUGUUUUGUUGCUGAUGGAUUCAUCCUUGGAAGGACAAUAUGCCAAUGAAGAUGCAACUGCAUUGGUUGAACUUGCUUCAAAAUGUCUCCAGUAUGAGGCUAGAGAUCGACCAGAUAUUAAGUUUCUUCUUACUGCGGUAGAACCCCUUCAAAAGCAGAAAGAGGUUGUGUCACAUGUUUUGAUGGGUCUGAUGAAAACUCCAGUGGUGCUGCCAACCAUGCUUUCUCCUCUUGGAAAGGCUUGUGCAAGGAUGGACCUUACUACGGUUCAUGAUAUCUUGCUUAAAACGGGUUAUAAAGAUGAAGAGGGUGCAGAAAAUGAGGUACCUGGAAUGUUUCCGGCGAAGGCGAAGACUGGGCCGUGGUGUAGGAUUCUCUUCCUUGCGGGUCGAUCUUUUGAGAUACAGGAGGUGUCAAGGGACCAACGAGGCAAUUGACGGCUGGGAAUUGUGGAACGUGGCUUAGGAUUACGGCGAGAAGUGCUUUUGGUCGGAUUUGAAGUGGGGUGGAUUGCUAAGAAGUUGCGGGAGGCAUCACGUAACAUAGGGACCCAAUCUUUUCUGGGUCGGUUGGAUGGAAAAUGACGAAGUGUGGCAGUCUGGACUUGAGGUGUGGAGGAUGGAGGGGCCUCGCUUUAGAUUGUGGUUACGACUGAGGGCAAGUGAUAUCAGACUUUUCUUUCUGCUUCGGAGUUCAUGGAUAGAUGAGAGGGAGUUAUUGAGGGCUUUGCCAAGGGGAAGGGUUGGGUCUUGAAGUCUGGUGACAUAAAAGGGACAUCAGUGGUGCAAAGGGGUGAGCCACUGACUGCAGGAGACGUGCCUCCUAUGGGCAACGGUGAUAAAUUGAUUCAGGUUGUAGUGGAGGAGGGGUGGUUUGGGUCAGGUGGGGGGUAAGGGUGUGGGGUUUUUGGCCAUGAUGGAGUGGGUAAGCUCGUGGUGGAAGAUGUCGAGGACGGUGGAAAUCCGACCAGUUGGGGUCAAGCCUUUCUCUUCAUGUUCCCUUCACGACUAAAAGCUGGGGAGGUCUUGAGGUGCUGGUAGGUAAUUGACAGGUGUGAUUUGGGUUUGCAAUGGUGGUCACCAUCAACUUUUUGCGAUAAAGGGAUGACAUUUGGGCCAGAGACGACGGUGUGGGUGAGGGUGGUGUGAUUACCCAUACAUCUUUGCGGGGUAAAGACGUAUAGGGCCAUCGGUGAGAAGUGUAGGGGUUUGGUGGAUGUUGAUGAGCUUUCGGCUGAUCUAGGUGUGGUCUGAAUGCAACUCCAAAGUGGUGGCAGCAUAGCACCUAAGAUUUUGCUCCGACGGGAGUCAUGGCAAUAUGUGCUACCUCUGUGGCCGGAGGUUGGGCCAACGAUCGAGGUUGUUCAGCCGGCAGUGGAGAUGCGAGGUGGGGGGGCAGCCGAAGAAGGAAGGUAGUAUCUGGUUGCGUGAUGAUAGGGGGAUGUUUUGGAUUAAGGAUCUUGAGGGAUUUGAUCAAAGAUUUGGGGGAAAUAUUUUAGGUCUUGGGCCUUGGGGCAGACAACUGAGAAAAGGGGGGUGGGCUUUGGAGGUAAAUAGUUGGGCUCAAAUCAUAAGGGGUGGAUGGACCGUAGGGGCAGAAUGGGAGCCUAACAUCCAGUGGGCUUCUUUAGUAGAGUUGAGAAGAUUUGGCAAUAGGAGUCGUGGACUGGGCCCUAACAGUUCAAGCCCAUAUCAAAAAGAGAGGACCGACGCUAGGAGAGGCCCAGUGUUAACAAUGGGGGCACAAAUUAACCUGACUAUUGAUCGGGUGCUCGGAUCUCUGCGUGACAAAAUUGGGUCAAGUCGCCAAAUUAACAAUGGUGAUGCUUUGUUGUCAAGCGGGGCAGUGGCGUGGGCUUUGUUGGAGGAGCCUAGUGUGCCGACGAUGAGUCUAAGUCCUGGGCAGCUGGUGGUGGGAGAUUUGAUGUUGUGAAGUCUGGAAAAGGUACAGUGGAGGAUGCAGUGCUUACCCUGACAAAUCAGUUGAUAGAAGAUGAGACUUGUGGGGAAGUGCUGGGUCAGUCAGGGGAGUAUGUGGCGUCUAAAGCAAUGACGGAGGAGAGAUGGGAAAAUUUGGGUGAGAAGCAUGCCUGGGGAUAAGGCACUGGGCCCGAAUGGUUUUUCUAUUGCUUUUUUUUCAACAUUGUUAGGGGGUGGUGAAAGGGGAGGUGAUGGCUAUGUAUGAGCAGUUUCAUCGAACUGGGCAAUUUGAGCGGAGUCUGAAUGCAACUUUUAUACCUUUGAUUCCUAAGAAGGGGGGCCGGAGGGCAUUCAAGAUUUUCAGCCUAUUAGUCUUUUGGGCAUUGUUUACAAACUAUUGGCCAAGGUUUUGGCUAAUAGACUUUAGGGCGUGUUAGAGAGGGUGGUGUCAGAAUCAUAGAAUGCUUUUGUGGGUGGUUGACAAAUUUUGGAUGUUGUUCUGGUGGCUAACGAGUGUGUGGAUUCACGGCUCCGGUAAGGAAAACGGGGGAUAAUUUGUAAGCUGGAUGUUGAGAAGGCUUACGAUAAUGUGAACUAGAAGUUUUUGUUGUACAUGAUGGAGAUGACAGGUUUUGGGAAGCGGUGGAGGAGGUGGAUACAAUUUUGUGUUUCUACUGUUCGAAUGUCUGUUCUGGUUAAUGACACACAGGCAGGUUUCUUCCCCAUUUAGAGAGGUUUACGGUAGGGUGACCCUUUGUUCCCAUUAUUGUUCAUUUUGGUUAUGGAGGCAUUAAGUCGUCUGUUCUCUAGGGCGGUCCAAAAGGGGUUUGUUAUCAGGUUUCGAAGUGGGUAUGGGACCUGGUUCUUUGGUGGUUUCUCAUCUUUUCUAUGCUGAUGAUGUGUUGAUUUUUUGCAAUGCGGAUUCUUAUCAGAUUGGCAAUUUGCGGUGUGUAUUGUUAUGUUUUGAGGCAGUGUUAGGUUUGCGGGUUAAUUUGGCAAAAUCAAAAUUGAUACCGGUAGGUGAGGUGGACCAAUUGUCGGUGUUAUCUUGGGCUAUAAGGUGGUAAUGUUUUCAGUUUCUUAUUUGGGUCUUCCUUUGGGGGGGCUUCCUUUAAGGAGACACGGGGUGUGGGAUAGGGUGAUGGACAGAGUUCAGCUGCAGUUGGCGGGGUGGAAGCGACAGUACUUGUCAAAAGGAGGACGGAUCACUUUGAUCAAGAGUGUUCUAUCUAAUAUUCUUACGUAUUUUAUGUUGGUGCAUGUGAUUCGUAUCGAGGUAGCAAAGAGGUUAGAGAAGUUGCAACGAGAUUUUUUGUGGCGUGGGGGCGGGGAGGGUUUUCAUUGCCAUUUGGUGAACUGGGAGAAGGUUUGUACUCUGAAGGAGAUGGAGGGUUUGGGGGUGCAGAAAUUGGUAGUGUUUAAUCAAGCUCUAUUGGGGAAGUGGUUGUUGCGUUUUGCAGGGGAAAGGAAGCAGCUAUGGAGGAGGGUGGUGGUAGCUAAGUACGGGGAGGAGAGGGGGGGUUGGUGUUCGAAGAGGGUGGCUCAGCCUUAUGGUCGAGGAUUGUGGGAGGGGAUUUGGUUGGAGAGGGAGGCUUGUUGGGAACGAGUUCGGUUUAAAGUGGGAGCAAGAGAUCGAGUUUGUUUUUGGCGGGAUUGGUGGUGUGGAGAGCUGUCUUUGGCGGCCAUGUUCCCUUUGAUAUUUGCGAUUGCCGCUAAUGGGGUGGUUGCUUUGGUUAGGGUGAGUCACGAGCAAUCAGUUGUUUGGAACGUUUGUCUUCGACGUGAUAUUCAGAAUUGAGAGAUAGACAAAUUGGUGGAUCUUUUGAGUUUUUUGUAUGGGUUGUAGUAUGGGGGGAGGGGGAAUGGGGUGGAUUCUUUGGUAUGAGAUUUUCUAAGUUCUAAAGGUGUUUUUUUAGUGUCAUCAUUUUAUAAGGUGCUUGCAUCGGGUAGUGGUGGUGCAUUUCCUUGGAAAUGUAUUUGGGCGACGAGAUCUCCUUCCAAGAGAUGUGGAAACGGUUGAUCAUUUGCUUGUGCAAUGCCCCGUUGUGUCUCGGCUUUGGUGUACGAAUCGGGCUUGGUAUUGGAGGUGUUGCUCAGUUGGGAUGGGGCGAGGGUGGGUAAGAGGCGGUGGAAGGCUUGGUUACUUGCUUCUCAUUGCUUAUUGUGGUUAGUUUGGUUGGAGCAUAGAAGACGUAUUUUUCAGAACAAAUGUCAUUCAUUUCUUUGGUUAGAAUUACGCUUCUUAUGGUUUUGCAUAGUUAGGUUGCAGGUUCGGUUGAUCCUGAUGUGUUCACUUUUGUACAUUUUGUAGAGGAUUUGCUUAGCUAGUGAGAUUCUGCGGACUGUUUUGGCCUGCUAUUUCGUUUGUAUUCUUUGCAUCACUUUAAUGCUUUUCUAAUAGUCUUAUUAUUUAUCAAAAAAAAAAAAUUUGUUUAAAAGAAAAAAAAAAAAA